rnacentral:rRNA from 1 species
ACUCAAAGGAAUUGACGGGGGCUCACACAAGCGGUGGAGCAUGUUGCUUAAUUCGAGGCAACGCGAAGAACCUUACCUGGGCUUGACAUGUACGGAUUAACCCCUUGAAAGAGGGGCCACAGCCGCAAGGCCGGAACGUGCACAGGUGCUGCAUGGCUGUCGUCAGCUCGUGCUGUGAAGUGUCGGGUUAAGUCCCUUAACGAGCGCAACCCCUGUCGUUAGUUGCUCACGGGUAAUGCCGAGUACUCUAGCGAGACUGCCGGUGUCAAACCGGAGGAAGGUGGGGAUGACGUCAAGUCCUCAUGGCCCUUACGUCCAGGGUUGCAAACGUGCUACAAUGGCGCGUACAAAGCGAUGCGAGAUCGCGAGAUGGAGCAAAUCGCAAAAAGCGCGCCCCAGUUCGGAUUGCAGGCUGCAACUCGCCUGCAUGAAGUCGGAAUCGCUAGUAAUCGGAGAUCAGCUACGCUCCGGUGAAUGUGUUCCUGAGCCUUGUACACACCGCCCGU